UACAGAGGGUGCAAGCGUUGUUCGGAAUUAUUGGGCGUAAAGCGCGUGUAGGCGGCUUUGCAAGUCGGGUGUGAAAGCCCUCGGCUCAACCGAGGAAGUGCGCCCGAAACUGCAGAGCUUGAGUACCGGAGAGGAUGGCGGAAUUCCCCAAGUAGAGGUGAAAUGCGCAGAUAUCAGGAAGAACACCCGUGGCGAAGGCGGCUCUCUGGGACGGUACUGACGCUGAGACGCGAAAGCGUGGGGAGCGAACAGG
rnacentral:rRNA from 1 species